UAACCUAUACGAAUCAAUGAAGAACAGAUCAUGUGAAAAUUCACCUAAGUCUGUUUCUGGCAGACAAAAGAAAGGUGCGAAUUUAACAAAGGAUGGUACUGAGCUUUACGAAUCAAUGAAGACUACUACACAAGAGCUAACAAAGUCCAUUGACAAAAUGGAUAUGUAUGCCAGCACUUUGAAGAAAUAGGAAUCCAUGUACAAACAAUACCGUUGAC